CCGGCACGGGUGAGUAACACGUAUCCAACCUGCCGUCUACUCUUGGACAGCCUUCUGAAAGGAAGAUUAAUACAAGAUGGCAUCAUGAGUCCGCAUGUUCACAUGAUUAAAGGUAUUCCGGUAGACGAUGGGGAUGCGUUCCAUUAGAUAGUAGGCGGGGUAACGGCCCACCUAGUCUUCGAUGGAUAGGGGUUCUGAGAGGAAGGUCCCCCACAUUGGUACUGGGACACGGACCAA
rnacentral:rRNA from 1 species